CUUCCCGCUCCCCCAAAAUAUCCUUUUGUUUAAAAAAAAAAAAAAAGCCCCAUCCAAAAUACCAAGUGCCCAAUGCUGCUGGAACGGAAAGCUGUACCCAACACCAGAAGGAAAUGCAUUCGGAUGCCAGCACCGCUGGAUGCCGGGGAUGGAGAGGCAGCCUGACCCAAGGAGCGCUCCUCCAUAGAGCCAAGCCCCGAGAUUUCCUAGAGGGUGAUGUUGGAAGGCCGUCGAAUGCUGAGAUACACCUGCUGGCAGCACACAACAGCUGCCCCAACCUCUCGGUGUGCACAUUUCUAGCGGCUGGAACAAAG
rnacentral:lncRNA from 1 species